UCCCUAGUGGUCUAAUGGUUAGGACUUGAUGCUUUCACUGUUAUGGCCCUGAGUUCAAUCUCUGGUCAGGGAA
rnacentral:tRNA from 1 species